rnacentral:misc_RNA from 1 species
AUGCAUCACAACUAAGACAAAUCAACCAAUUGAAAUUUAUAGAUAAAUUUUGCACCUGGGUCCUAUACCCACACAAAUAAGCUUUCAAAGAAAUCAAAUCAAUAUGAAAACAACAUAGCAACAAUUAUAUUCUAGAAUCACAAAUACAGUAAGGUCACACUCUCAGUUCACUCUGCAAAUGGGAUGGGAAUGAAAAUGUAGUCCCUUAAGCCAAGUUCAUUUUUACAAUAAAUCAAUAUAAUUCCAUGGCAAUCUUAAAACGUAUACAUAAUACAUUAUAUGCCAUUUGCACCUAAUUCAAG